UACGUAGGGUGCGAGCGUUAAUCGGAAUUACUGGGCGUAAAGCGUGCGCAGGCGGUUCGUUAAGUUCGAUGUGAAAGCCCCGGGCUCAACCUGGGAACUGCAUUGGAAACUGGCGAGCUUGAGUGCGGCAGAGGGGGGUGGAAUUCCGCGUGUAGCAGUGAAAUGCGUAGAGAUGCGGAGGAACACCGAUGGCGAAGGCAGCCCCCUGGGCUGACACUGACGCUCAGGCACGAAAGCGUGGGGAGCAAACAGG
rnacentral:rRNA from 1 species